CCAUCGAACCGCUCCAAUUUAUCUCCGUCUCUGCUCCCCAAAAGGUCUGCAACUAAUUAUUACAUUUUAACUUUUCCACCAUUUAUGCCGAAUCCUUCGAUUAUUACUUCUCCUCGUCACUCUCCUUGCCCUAAUUGCGCCCCCCCAAAAGGGUGAAGACUCUUGCUUAUAUUCAACAAAGAGAUUGAGAAUGCUUGCUCAAAAGUUUAAUUUCUCUUGCAAAGUGAUUUGCGUGUGAUUAGUUGACUUACAGAAGCUGGAUGGGAUAUGUAGGCCACACUCCAAUGUGUAGUAGGGUCCACAAUAUUUUCUAGUAGUUCCUUGCAUUUUCUUUUUAAUAACGAAUAGAUUCUAUUUUUAAGUAUAGUCUUUCUUUUUCUUUUUUUUAAUUAAACAUAACACAUUUCUAGAGGCAGUGUUUCACUGAUACCUAGAACAUAUGAAUUGGUUUUACUACUUUUCAUACUUUAGGUAAAAGUAAUUAGUUUUAUCAUAAAGUAAUUGGUUUUUUUGUACUAA